GUAGGUGGCAAGCGUUGUCCGGAAUUAUUGGGCGUAAAGCGCGCGCAGGCGGUUCUUUAAGUCUGAUGUGAAAGCCCACGGCUCAACCGUGGAGGGUCAUUGGAAACUGGAGAACUUGAGUACAGAAGAGGAAAGCGGAAUUCCACGUGUAGCGGUGAAAUGCGUAGAGAUGUGGAGGAACACCAGUGGCGAAGGCGGCUUUCUGGUCUGCAACUGACGCUGAGGCGCGAAAGCGUGGGGAGCAAACAGGGAUUAGAUACCCUGGUAGUCCACGCCGUAAACGAUGAGUGCUAAGUGUUAGGGGGGUUUUCCGCCCCCCUUAGUGCUGCAGCUAACGCAUUAAGCACUCCGCCUGGGAGUACGACCGCAAGGUUG
rnacentral:rRNA from 1 species